UAGGGAAUCUUCCACAAUGGACGCAAGUCUGAUGGAGCAACGCCGCGUGAGUGAAGAAGGUCUUCGGAUCGUAAAACUCUGUUGUUAGAGAAGAACACGAGUGAGAGUAACUGUUCAUUCGAUGACGGUAUCUAACCAGCAAAUCACGGCUAACUACGUGCCAG
rnacentral:rRNA from 1 species